GGCUCUCCUCCCCCAACUCCUUCCAGGCCAGGGAGGCUGCGUGGCCCUCACCCAUGUCUCCCGCUGCGGGAAACUGCCACCUCGGCCUGGGAUCCUUUCCAAGAAGAGUCUGGAGAUUUCACAAAGCCCUCUGAACAACAAAAGUUGCAGAAGAUUCUCCUGAAGAGAACUCCAGGACACAGGAGCCCCAGUGCUUCAGGAAGAAUCCAGGUUAGCUGAGGUGGAAGCUUCAAUGACAGGGGGCUAAGGCGGAAGCGUGAUGACUUGGGAGAUUAAGGGGAGGCUGAUUAAAGGUUAUGAAGACACUAUGACCAGGAGUGAGGUGGGGGCUCAAUGCAUGGCUGGAGGAGACAGAUGGAAUGACUAGACCAAGAGUGAGGACAAGAUGACCAGGCAGCGCAACUGCCAGGUGGACAGACGUGAGGAAAGAGGCUGGCCCAGGUUCCUCUUACAGCUUGGAUCAAGUCCAAUUGCCCUCAGCAAGCCUGGGAUCUAGUCUAAUCCACUGCCUUGUUUGGGGAUACCCCAACUCACAGCAUUCCCACACACACUUUGAUGGGGAGCUCACUACCUGCUGGCAACACAACCAGUACCUUCCAUUCCCACUGACCUCUCAUGGGGAAUGAACAUUGACCCCAGGAGGCCAGGACCAUGCUUCCAGCAACAUCUCAGAGAUAUCCCUGGCCACUGUGUCCGACGGCAGCAUUCCAGGACUGGGUAGGUCAUCACAGCCCCCUGCAUCCAUCCCCUCUUUU